AGAACGAACGCUGGCGGCAUGCCUAAUACAUGCAAGUCGAACGAACUCUUCGGAGUUAGUGGCGCACGGGUGCGUAACGCGUGGGAAUCUGCCCUUGGGUUCGGAAUAACAGUUGGAAACGACUGCUAAUACCGGAUGAUGACGAAAGUCCAAAGAUUUAUCGCCCAGGGAUGAGCCCGCGUAGGAUUAGCUAGUUGGUGAGGUAAAGGCUCACCAAGGCACGAUCCUUAGCUGGUCUGAGAGGAUGAUCAGCCACACUGGGACUGAGACACGGCCCAGACCUCCGUACGGGAGGCAGCAGUAGGAAUAUUGGACAAGUGGGACGAAAGCCUGAUCCAGCAAUGCCGCGUGAGUGAUGAAGUCGUUAGGUGUAAG
rnacentral:rRNA from 1 species